GGGACUCCAUGUGAUCAGUCAACCAGCUUCCAGACACCUGAGGCAGUAAAUGCUACAAUUGCAAAAGUGGAUCAGAUGUUUGGAAUGAAUAACCUUUUCCGUGUUGUCAGCUGCCAAGUACUACAUGCCACUGACUUGGAAGAAGGGCAAUGGAUUUUGAAAUAAUCAUUGAUGUCCAGGAAACUGUAUGUGCUGCAAAUUCUGGAUUGGAUCUAGCAAAUUGUACACUGCUACCUACCCCAGAUGCUAAAACUGCUACUUGCACCAGCCAGGUUCAAGUGAGUCAUAAUGAAAGUCCAGUUGUUAUGGUACAAUGCAUGAACAUGAGCAUGACAACAUCAAACUCAACAUCGAUACCAACACCAACGUCAACAUCAACAAUUAACUCAACAUCAACAUCAACAUCAAGGCCAACAUCGAUCACUACAACAACGACAACAAAUACAACUACAACAACUACAACAACAACAACUGUACCAACUACAACAACAACAACAACAACAAUAAAAUCAUCGUUGUCGUCAUCAUCAGAAAAGCAGUGAAUCAUCAGAGGAACGCAAUAAAAAAACUUUUAAGAAGAGUGGAUGGAGAUGUAAAGGAACUGAUGAACAUGAAGAAAAUUCCAAUCGGCUUUAAUUGCUUAAUUCUAAAGCAUUUAAUGAGAGCUAGCUUGCUACUUAAUUAUUAGAAAUUCAUAAUAUAGCUUCUUACAUUGAUACUCAAGAUAUUGUCACUACUCAGUAUUGUCUGGUAAGUGGAGUAAAUCUAGCAAAGUGAUUUGUACAAUAUAUCAAUGUAAACACAAAGAAUAAACAAAAUAUUGUUGUCCAAUUUUGUGUCUCAGAAGCCCUUGCAGUUCAGUAAAAGUAUUAGAGACUCAAGGUUCUCUAGUUGGUUAGUUUUCUGAGAGAUCUGACAUGAAUCUUUGAGCGGUCACAAUGGGCAAUAAGUUUAUAAAAUUGAGUGGAAUAUCUUCCAUCAUGUGUUGAGUUGCCACAGUUUCCAGCUCCUGAUGUGUUCCUUGUUCAUGAUGUUCACACAAGCAGCAGAUGAGCUCACAAGCUCCCUGUAAUUAUACCCUGCACUGGCACCGAGACCCAGGCAACCCGAGUCCCUGGCUUUGUCCUCCUCUUCUCUCUGUCUCACUCUGAAGUACAGGAGAGAAAAGAGUUAGAUCUGACGGGUGGGUGAGGAAGUGUCAUAAAUAUUUUACGAUAGCUGCAGGCCCUGAAUUAGAAGCCUUGUGCUUGCACUAAGAAAGGUAGAGCUGGGGGUGUAAUGGGGAAGGUUCUCCCAGGAAAGGACUCACAUUAGCAGCUAUCAUUCUGACAUAAACAUGAUUAAUUGGACAUGACAAUGAACAAUUGAAAUAAAGUGGGUAAGCUCAGGAGAAACAGGCCUGAUUUAUCAAUUCCAAGAUGGUAUUGAUAUCAGGAGCUGUCCCCAUCAAUGCUUUGUUUAUUUCACUUUCAGGCUGGGGUUCAUGAGAUC